UUUCUUGACAUUUUGUAUAUAUUAAAUUAUUUAUAGCGUAACGACUCGCUCUGAGUCUAUGGCGAUAAACACAUUAUCGAAUAGGCGAUACGGACGCGGGGGCAGUACCCGCCGCCUCCACCAAUUAUAUGGCAUCCUUGGAUUAGGGUGCUUUUUGGGGGGCGAAAUAGGAUCGACGUGCGUGAUAAAGAUAAUGCUUUCGCUCGGCAUGAUACCGCCGUUACCGGGUCAAAAACACAGGUGCCAACGACAACGUUGAACCUCGUUUAGCUGUCGCGGCGUGAUUUCCCCCUUCGGGGCAAUUAUGUUGUAAAUGCUUUACGCGGCCGCCAGGGGUGCCGGGCAACAGAAACCCCUGGAU
rnacentral:tmRNA from 1 species